rnacentral:rRNA from 1 species
GGGGAAUUUUCCGCAAUGGGCGAAAGCCUGACGGAGCAACGCCGCGUGAGGGAUGAAGGCCUCUGGGCUGUAAGCCUCUUUUCUCAAGGAAGAAGAUCUGACGGUACUUGAGGAAUAAGCCACGGCUAAUUCCGUGCCAGCAGCCGCGGUAAUACGGGAGUGGCAAGCGUUAUCCGGAAUUAUUGGGCGUAAAGCGUCCGCAGGCGGUCUUGUAAGUCUGUCGUUAAAGCGUGGAGCUUAACUCCAUUUCAGCGAUGGAAACUGCAAGACUAGAGUGUGGUAGGGGCAGAGGGAAUUCCCGGUGUAGCGGUGAAAUGCGUAGAUAUCGGGAAGAACACCAGUGGCGAAGGCGCUCUGCUGGGCCAUAACUGACGCUCAUGGACGAAAGCCAGGGGAGCGAAAGGGAUUAGAUACCCCUGUAGUC